rnacentral:rRNA from 1 species
CGGAACUGGUGAGUAACACGUGGGUAACCUGCCCAGAAGCAGGGGAUAACACCUGGAAACAGAUGCUAAUACCGUAUAACAGAGAAAACCGCCUGGUUUUCUUUUAAAAGAUGGCUCUGCUAUCACUUCUGGAUGGACCCGCGGCGCAUUAGCUAGUUGGUAAGGUAACGGCUUACCAAGGCGACGAUACGUAGCCGACCUGAGAGGGUGAUCGGCCACACUGGAACUGAGACACGGUCCAG